rnacentral:rRNA from 1 species
GUGGUCGGUGCUUGGGUUAGUGAGGAUGAGCAGGCGGGGCUUGCUGAAGGAGGUCUGCAUCUGGUUGGUGAAGGUACCAGGGGUGUGCCUCCUGGCGAUGGCGUUGGCACCGGUGUGUUGCGCAAACUUGAGGACAGCGCACUGGCCGUAGGGGCGAGUGGACUGGACGAUGAUGUCCUGGGGGUUCUCGAUGGCCAUGAUCCUCGCCGCGAGCUGGAGCUUCUACCACGUCUUGCCAAGAUUGAUGAUGUAGGUACCGUCGGAGCGGCGCUUGUAGGCGUAGCGCUCCAUCUGGAAGUCACGGUUCUUGGUGCCGAGGUGGACGUCGGCGGCAAGCGUCAUCUGUAUGUCCUGCUCCUUCUGGGAUAGCGCCCGCGGGGCCUCUCCAGCCGCUGCCGCCAUGACUGGUCGGAUCUGGCCACGACAUGA